rnacentral:rRNA from 1 species
UGAGCAAUCUGCCCUUCUCUUCGGAAUAAGCGUUGGAAACGACGUCUAAUGCCGAAUACGACCUCCUUUCGCAUGAUCGGAGGUGGAAAGCUCCGGCGGAGAAGGAUGAGCUCGCGGCCUAUCAGCUAGUUGGUGUGGGUAAUGGCCCACCAAGGCGACGACGGGUAGCCGGCCUGAGAGGGUGACCCGGCCACACUGGGACUGAGACACGGCCCAGACCUCCGUACGGGAGGNAG